rnacentral:lncRNA from 1 species
CAACACCAGCAUCAGAGAUCGAUCAAUUUGCCGGUAUCCCACAGGCCGCCUCUCUUCUCGAGAUCUCGGCCCUUGUCCACCGGGAAUCUCGAUGUCUCCGACGGCGACGCAAGCAGCAGCGUCGGCAGCAGAGACCGCUGGGAGGACGGUGACGACCGUGCGAAGUGCGAUGACCCCAGGUGCUUGAUCAAGAACCUCGACAACGGGAGGGAGUUCGUGGUGAAGGAAUUCGGGAAGGAUGGGAUGUGGAACAAGUUAAGGGAGGUUGAGACCGGGCGGCAGCUCACGAUGGAGGAGUU